rnacentral:rRNA from 1 species
UACAGAGGUCUCGAGCGUUGUUCGGAUUCAUUGGGCGUAAAGGGUGCGUAGGUGGCGUGGUAAGUCGGGUGUGAAAGCCCGGGGCUCAACCCCGGAACUGCGCCCGAAACUGGCGAGCUUGAGUGCGGGAGAGGGAAGCGGAAUUCCUGGUGUAGAGGUGAAAUUCGUAGAUAUCAGGAGGAACACCGGUGGCGAAAGCGGCUUCCUGGCCCGACACUGACGCUCAUGUACGAAAGCGUGGGGAGCAAACAGG